rnacentral:rRNA from 1 species
GUAGGGAAUCUUGCGCAAUGGGCGAAAGCCUGACGCAGCCAUGCCGCGUGAAUGAUGAAGGUCUUAGGAUUGUAAAAUUCUUUCACCGGGGACGAUAAUGACGGUACCCGGAGAAGAAGCCCCGGCUAACUUCGUGCCAGCAGCCGCGGUAAUACGAAGGGGGCUAGCGUUGCUCGGAAUUACUGGGCGUAGAGGGAGCGUAGGCGGAUAGUUUAGUCAGAGGUGAAAGCCCAGGGCUCAACCUUGGAAUUGCCUUUGAUACUGGCUAUCUUGAGUAUGGAAGAGGUAUGUGGAACUCCGAGUGUAGAGGUGAAAUUCGUAGAUAUUCGGAAGAACACCAGUGGCGAAGGCGACAUACUGGUCCAUUACUGACGCUGAGGCUCGAAAGCGUGGGGAGCAAACAGGAUUAGAAACCCUUGUAGUCC